UACGUAGGGUGCAAGCGUUAAUCGGAAUACUGGGCGUAAAGCGUGCGCAGGCGGUGAUGUAAGACAGAUGUGAAAUCCCCCGGGCUCAACCUGGGAACUGCAUUUGUGACUGCAUCGCUGGAGUACGGCAGAGGGGGGAUGGAAUUCCGCGUGUAGCAGUGAAAUGCGUAGAUAUGCGGAGGAACACCGAUGGCGAAGGCAAUCCCCUGGGCCUGUACUGACGCUCAUGCACGAAAGCGUGGGGAGCAAACAGG
rnacentral:rRNA from 1 species